GUGCAUCUCCGAGUAGGGGCUGAGGGCACAGCUCUCCUGGCUCCUCUGCUCGGUUACAUCUACACAGUGAAUACGCCCCAGGUCCCAGCCUGGGAUCCACAGAAUCUUGAUAUUUUCCACUUCUGGAAAAUAAACUUCUGUUUUCUCCAGUUCAGCUGAGCUGAACAUCUACAAUGUCUGGCUUUACAGGUUUUGAUGCUGAAAAUAUUUUUUAUUUUUUAUUUUUUUUUUGAGACAGAGUCUCACUCUGUUGCCAGGCUGGAGUACAAUGGUGCCAUCUUGACUCACUGUAACCUCCGCCUCCCGGGUUCAAGCUAUUCUCCUGCCUCAGCUUCCUGAGUAGCUGGUACUACAGGCGUGUGCCACCAUGCCCAG
rnacentral:misc_RNA from 1 species